AUGAUCUGACAUGUACGAAAUGAAAACUUCAUUCUCAAUUCUAUGAGAAUGUUUAUGAAAGCAUUUCAUUUGAUUCUCUUCAAUGGAAGUUUCAUUUUCUGAUAAUGUAUCCUAAUUUUUGGCCUAAUUCUUCUUCUGAUGAUCGAUUCAACCUCUAAUAAAAAAGAUAGACGUUGAUUCUAUUUCAUCUCUUCAACAAGUUUAGUAACAAGCAUAACGGCCCUAUUGUUUCGAUGA
rnacentral:rRNA from 1 species